rnacentral:rRNA from 1 species
AACGAACGCUGGCGGCAUGCCUAACACAUGCAAGUCGAACGAGACCUUCGGGUUUGGUGGCUCACGGGGUCGUAACGGGUGGGAAAAUGCGUUGAGGAUCGGAAUAAUACCCUGAGAUGGGUGUUGGUAACGGGUACUGAUUCUGGAUCAAAGAUUUAUCGCGGUUGGAUGGUGCAGCGUUGGGUUUGGGAGAUGGUUGGGUAAGAGGCUACCAAGGUUACGAUUGGGAGCUGGUCUGAGAGGAUGGUCGGCCACACUGGGACUGGGGCACGGCCCAGGCUCGUACGGGAUGGAGCAGUGUGCAAUAUUGGACAAUGGGCGAAAGACUGAUCCAGCAAUGCCGCGUGAGUGAUGAAGGCCUUAAGGUUCUAAAGCUCAUGUACACGCGAUUAUAAUGACAGUACCGGGAGAAUAAGCACCGGCUAACUCCGUG